UACACUCCUGCGGGAGGCAGCAGUGGGGAAUAUUGCCCAAUGGGCGCAAGCCUGAUGCAGCCAUGCCGCGUGUAUGAAGAAGGCCUUCGGGUUGUAAAGUACUUUCAGCGGGGAGGAAGGCAAUACGGUUAAUAACCGUGUUGAUUGACGUUACCCGCAGAAGAAGCACCGGCUAACUCCGUGCCAGCAGCCGCGGUAAUACGGAGGGUGCAAGCGUUAAUCGGAAUUACUGGGCGUAAAGCGCACGCAGGCGGUCUGUCAAGUCGGAUGUGAAAUCCCCGGGCUCAACCUGGGAACUGCAUUCGAAACUGGCAGGCUUGAGUCUUGUAGAGGGGGGUAGAAUUCCAGGUGUAGCGGUGAAAUGCGUAGAGAUCUGGAGGAAUACCGGUGGCGAAGGCGGCCCCCUGGACAAAGACUGACGCUCAGGUGCGAAAGCGUGGGGAGCAAACAGGAUUAGAUACCCCUGUAGUCCCAUGA
rnacentral:rRNA from 1 species